rnacentral:lncRNA from 1 species
UCGACGCAAGGAUGGCUUAACAGUAGUGAUAUUCGACUAGCCUAGAAUAGGAGAUGAACAGAAGACAAAAGAAAGAGAAAGGAAAGGUUCGACCUAGAAGAGAGAAAGUGAACGGAAAAGAUGCAAAAAAAGAAUGACCUGAAUGGUCAGUUUUAGUUUUGGCACUAGAGAAAAAGAAAGAAAAAGAAAAACCCCCAAAUGCUAGAGAGAAAAUUCGGCACCUAUACACUCACUAAUUGCCGAAAUGCAUACUCUAAAGUCCCCCUUAGCUGAUUCGGCAACAACCUUCUACAACUCAAACUCCCCUUUUUCCUCCUAAAAUCACUCCUCCAAUCCUCUCAUUGAAAU